rnacentral:rRNA from 1 species
UAGGGAAUCUUCGGCAAUGGGGGCAACCCUGACCGAGCAACGCCGCGUGAGUGAAGAAGGUUUUCGGAUCGUAAAACUCUGUUGUUAGAGAAGAACGUUAAGUAGAGUGGAAAAUUACUUAAGUGACGGUAUCUAACCAGAAAGGGACGGCUAACUACGUGCCAGCAGCCGCGGUAAUACGUAGGUCCCAAGCGUUGUCCGGAUUUAUUGGGCGUAAAGCGAGCGCAGGUGGUUUCUUAAGUCUGAUGUAAAAGGCAGUGGCUCAACCAUUGUGUGCAUUGGAAACUGGGAGACUUGAGUGCAGGAGAGGAGAGUGGAAUUCCAUGUGUAGCGGUGAAAUGCGUAGAUAUAUGGAGGAACACCGGAGGCGAAAGCGGCUCUCUGGCCUGUAACUGACACUGAGGCUCGAAAGCGUGGGGAGCAAACA